UUGAUGUAAAAGGCUGGCUAGCGAUA
rnacentral:piRNA from 1 species